rnacentral:rRNA from 1 species
UACAGAGGUCUCAAGCGUUGUUCGGAAUCACUGGGCGUAAAGCGCACGUAGGCGGAUUUGUAAGUCAGGGGUGAAAUCCCGGGGCUCAACCUCGGAACUGCCUUUGAUACUGUUGGUCUUGAGUCCGGAAGAGGUGGGUGGAAUUCCUGGUGUAGCGGUGGAAUGCGCAGAUAUCAGGAGGAACACCAAUGGCGAAGGCAGAUCUCUGGGCCGUAACUGACACUGAGGAGCGAAAGCGUGGGGAGCAAACAGG